GAGUUUGAUCAUGACUCAGAUUGAACGCUGGCGGCAUGCCUUACACAUGCAAGUCGAACGGCAGCACGGGAGCUUGCUCCUGGGUGGCGAGUGGCGAACGGGUGAGUAAUGCAUCGGAACGUAUCCUGGAGUGGGGGAUAACGUAGCGAAAGUUACGCUAAUACCGCAUAUUCUGUGAGCAGGAAAGCGGGGGACCUUCGGGGCCUCGCGCUCUUGGAGCGGCCGAUGUCGGAUUAGCUAGUUGGUGAGGUAAAGGCUCACCAAGGCGACGAUCCGUAGCAGGUCUGAGAGGAUGAUCUGCCACACUGGAACUGAGACACGGUCCAGACUCCUACGGGAGGCAGCAGUGGGGAAUUUUGGACAAUGGGGGCAACCCUGAUCCAGCCAUGCCGCGUGAGUGAAGAAGGCCUCGG
rnacentral:rRNA from 1 species